rnacentral:rRNA from 1 species
GAUGAACGCUGGCGGCGUGCCUAAUACAUGCAAGUCGAACGAGGUGCUUUUGUAGCAAUACGAGAGUAUCCUAGUGGCGAACGGGUGAGUAACGCGUUGGUGACCUACCCCAAAGUGUGGGAUAACAGUCCGAAAGGAUUGCUAAUACCGCAUGUGGUCUUCGGAUUUAGAAACUGAUGACUAAAGGAGCAAUUCGCUUUGGGAGGGACCUGCGUCCCAUCAGCUAGUUGGUGAGGUAAUGGCUCACCAAGGCUACGACGGGUAGGGGACCUGAGAGGGUGACCCCCCACAAUGGAACUGAAACACGGUCCAUACACCUACGGGUGGCAGCAGUAGGGAAUAUUGCACAAUGGGCGAAAGCCUGAUGCAGCAACGCCGCGUGUGCGAUGAAGGCCCUUCGGGGUCGUAAAAGCACUUUUCUGGGAGAUGAGCAAGGACAGUAUCUCAGG